rnacentral:rRNA from 1 species
AACAGUACGCGGCGUAAAGCGUGGUGAUACGCUAUCACUAAAACUAAGACCAAAAUGCAACUAAGCCGUCAUAAGCUCAAGAUGCCCCUAGGACCCCUUAUAAUCUUAGCACGAUUAACUUUACCCACGAAAGCUAAGGCACAAACUGGGAUUAGAUACCCCACUAUGCUUAGCCCUAAAUCUUAGCGCUAGCGCUCGCCCGAGAACUACGAGCAUAAACGCUUAAAACUCUAAGGACUUGGCGGUGUCCUAAACCCACCUAGAGGAGCCUGUUCUAUAAUCGAUAAUCCACGUUACACCGACCCCUCCUAGCUCAGCCUACAUACCGCCGWCGCCAGCUCACCUUCUCUGAGAGCUCAACAGUGAGCAUAAUAGAAACGCUAACAAGACAGGUCGAGGUAUAGCCCAUGGAGCGGAAGAAAUGGGCUACAUUUUCUAGCAUAGAAAGGGGGCGUGAAAUCCCCCCAAAAGGCGGAUUUAGCAGUAAAGAGGAACAAUAAUCCUCUUUAAGCUGGCCCUAGGCACGUACACACCGCCCGUCACCCUCCUCUCAAGC